CAAUAGCGUAUAUUAAAGUUGUUGCAGUUAAAAAGCUCGUAGUUGGAUUUCUGGUGGGAGCGAUCGGUCUGGCGCUUAGCGCGAGUACUUGCAUCGUCUCCGGCCAUCCUUGGGGAGAGUCUGUCUGGCAUUAGGUUGUCGGGCAGAGGAUCCUCAUCGUUUACUGUGAAAAAAUUAGAGUGUUCAAAGCAGGCUUAUGCCGUUGAAUAUAUUAGCAUGGAAUAAUAAGAUAGGACUUUGGUACUAUUUUGUUGGUUUGCGCACCAAAGUAAUGAUUAAUAGGGACAGUUGGGGGUAUUCGUAUUCCGUUGUCAGAGGUGAAAUUCUUGGAUUUACGGAAGACGAACUACUGCGAAAGCAUUUACCAAGGAUGUUUGCAUUAA
rnacentral:rRNA from 1 species